GGAACAAUCCGGGAUCGGGAACAGUCCGGGAUCGGGAACAAUCUGGGAUCAGGAACAAUCCGGGAUAGGGAAGAGUCCAGGAUUGGGACCAGUCUGGGAUUGGGAACAGUCGGGAUCAGGAACAGUCUGGGAUCAGAGAUAAUCCCGGGAUCAGGGACAGUCCCGGGAUCGGGAACAGUCCCGGGAUCGGGGAUAAUCCAGGAUAGGGAAGAGUCCAGGAUUGGGACCAGUCUGGGAUCGGGAACAGUCGGGAUCAGGAACAGUCUGGGAUCGGGAACAGUCCGAGAUUGGGAACAGUCCAGGAUCAGAGAUAAUCCCGGGAUCAGGGACAGUCCCGGGAUCGGGAACAGUCUGGGAUCGGGGAUAAUCCGGGAUCAGGGACAAUCCCAGGAUCGAGGACAUUCCAGAGCUGGGGACAAUCCCGGAAUUCAGGACAAUCCCGGAUCAGGGACAAUCCAGGGAUUGACAAUUCCAGCUUUUCCUGCCAACUGGGAUCAAGGAAUUCCAGUUUUUCCUGCCCAUUUUCCCACUGGAAUCGAGAAUCCCACCUUUUCCCGCCCAUUUUCCCACUGGAAUUCAGCAAUUCCAGCUUUUCCUGCCCAUUUUCCCACUGGGAUUGACAAUUCCAAUUUUCCCUCCCUGUUAUCCCGCUGGAACUGAGGAAUUCCAGCUUUUCCUGCCCCAUUUUCCCUCUGGAAUUCAGCAAUUCCAGCUUUCCCUGCCCAUUUUCCCACCGGGAUUGAGAAUCCCGGGAUCAGGGACGUGCUGGGAACAAUCCUGGAAUUCGGGCCGAUCCUGGAAUUCAGGCCGAUCCUGGAAUUCAGGACAUUCCCGGUCCCGGGGCCAUUCCCGGGGCUCCGGAAUUCCCCUUCCCACCCCGCCCCAUCCAUUCCUUCCUUCCCGAUUUCGGUUGGAAUUUCCACCCCCACCCUCCCUCCUCCUCCUCCUCCUCCUCCUCCUCCCCCCGCAGGGAUUUUGUGGGAAUUGAGGUUGGAAAAAUCCAGCACGGGAUAAAAAAAAAGGGGGAAUUUUACCUGCGAAGUUCUGGGAUCCACGGGGAGAGCUGGAAUUGCUGAAUUCCAGUGGGCAGGAAAAGCUGGAAUUGCUGAAUUCCAGAGGGAAAAUGGGCAGGGAAAGCUGGAAUUGCUGAAUUCCAGUGGGCAGGAAAAGCUGGAAUUCCUCAGUUCCAGCGGGAUAACAGGGAGGGAAAAUUGGAAUUCUUAAUUCCAGAGGGAAAAUGGGGCAGAAAAAGCUGGAAUUCUCAAUCCCAGAGGGCAUGAAAAGCUGGAAUGGCUGAAUUCCAGUGGGAAAAUGGGCAGGAAAAACUGGAAUUCCUUGAUUCCAGUGGGCAGGAAAAGCUGGAAUUCUCAAUCCCAGCGAGAUAAAGGACAGGGAAAACCUGGAAUUCUCAAUCCCAGCAGGAUAAAGGAGCAGGGAAAACCUGGAAUUCUCAAUCCCAGUGGGAUAAAGGACAGGAAAAGCUGGAAUUCUCAAUCCCAGUGGGAUAAAGGACAGGAAAAACCUGGAAUUCUCAAUCCCAGUGGGAUAAAGGAGCAGGGAAAACUGGAAUUCCUUGAUCCCAGUGGGCAGGAAAACCUGGAAUUCUCAAUCCCAGUGGGAUAAAGGACAGAAAAAAGCUGGAAUUCUCAAUCCCAGCGAGAUAAAGGAGCAGGGAAAUUUGGAAUUCUCAAUCCCAGUGGGAUAAAGGACAGGGAAACCUGGAAUUCCUCAGUUCCAGUGGGAUAAAGGACAGGGAAAACUGGAAUUCCUUGAUCCCAGUGGGAUAAAGGACAGGGAAAAGCAGGAAUUCUCAAUCCCAGUGGGCAGGAAGAGCUGGAAUUCCUCAAUCCCAGCAGGAUAAAGGACAGGGAAACCUGGAAUUCUCAACCCCAGUGGGCAGGAAAAGCUGGAAUUCCUCAGUUCCAGCGAGAUAAAGCACAGGAAAAACCUGGAAUUCUCAAUCCCAGUGGGAUAAAGGAGCAGGGAAAACCUGGAAUUCUCAAUCCCAGCGGGAUAAAGGACAGGGAAAAGCUGGAAUUCUCAAUCCCAGUGGGCAGGAAAAGCUGGAAUUCUCAACCCCAGUGGGAUAAAGGACAGGGAAAUUUGGAAUUCUCAAUCCCAGCAGGAUAAAUGACAGGAAAAGCUGGAAUUCUCAAUCCCAGUUGGGCAGGAAAAGCUGGAAUUCCUCAGUUCCAGUGGGAUAAAGGACAGGAAAAGCUGGAAUUCUCAAUCCCAGAGGGAUAAAGGACAGGGAAAAAGCUGGAAUUCUCAAUCCCAGUGGGAUAAAGGACAGGGAAAACGUGGAAUUCUCAAUCCCAGUGGGCAGGAAAAGCUGGAAUUCCUCAAUCCCAGCAGGAUAAAGGACAGGGAAAACCUGGAAUUCUCAAUCCCAGCGGGAUAAGGAGCAGGGAGAGGCGGAUCCUUCAUCCCUGGAUUUAAAAAAAAGCCCCUGGAAUAAAAAAACCCCCCCAGGAUCUCUCCAGGAACCACAUCCCCGCUUAUUUUCCUUCAUUUCUUGCCCAAUCCAAAGCCAGGCUUGGAAUAAAACCCUUCAAAUUCCCAAAAUUCCCAAAGGCAACACCCGAGCUCGUUGCCAGGUUUUUUUUUCUUUUUUUCCCCUCUGGAUUCAAGGGAAAUUCCAAAAAAAGCAGCGCCAGGGGCAGACGGAGAAAAUUCCCAGGCCACAUCCCUGGGAUAAGCAGGACACGGAGCCGGGGCUGAUUCCAGAGGGAGGGGAUCCCUCGGGAAUGGGAGCCGGAACGAGGGCAGCGCUCUCCUCCUUCCCCGAAUCCAGGACUUUUUUUUUCCCCACGUGGGAAAAACUCCGGGAGAGACCGAGAGGAAUCAAAUCCAACCCCAAAUCCUGCGGGAACAGCCCGGUUUAACCCCUCCCCCCCCAUCCCAAUCCCACAUCCCAAUCCCAC
rnacentral:lncRNA from 1 species